UCACCUCUCUCUCUCCUCUCUCUUUCCCCCUCUCUCUCUCCUCUCUCUCUCUCUCCUCUCUUCUCUUCCCCCCCCCUCUCUCUCUCUCCUCUAAAAUCUGUUCAGUCACCAACAGAGAAGCACUAGAGAGCUAAUGAAGACUUGUGAAACUUAAACUUGUGAUGAAAAAUGAAAAUAUAUUGUUUUUCUUUUCAAUGUGUUUGAUGCUGUUGUUUGAUCAGGUGGUUGAUCACGUGCAGUCAGUAUAAUAAUAAUAGCCCAGUGGUAACUACGACGACAACGUAAAGCUAGUUGCCGUCUGUGGGACAUUUUUUUUGUUUGAUGAAUCAAUCACGCCUCUGAACCUUGAUCUUCAACCCCUGACCUCUAUUCAACUGCCCCAUCAGCAAUCCUCUAGAUAAGGGGUAGACCACCCCUGUUUCAGGAGUACUGCGGGUACUGCAGGUAUUCUGUUCCAACGAGGGCACCACACCUAACCAACUGAGCUAAUUGAUCAGUUGAGUGAUUUGCCUAAAUUCAACACACCUGCUAUUCCCAGGUCGGUUAAAUCAAAAACAUGAAGUGGCUCCAGGACCGGGGUCGCCUACCCUUGUUUUAGAUCCUCUGAGUCCGGGUUAUCCAAACACGGUCCUGGGGGCCCGUUUUGGUUGUUGUCCACUACACAGCUGAUUGAAGUAACCAACUCAUCGUCAAGCUUCGAUUAUUUUUAAUCAGCUGUGUAGUGGUAGGACAACACCCAAAACAUACACCCAGGGUGUGGGGCCCCAGGGCCGAGUUUGUGAAACCCUGCUGUAAAGUUAGCCUGUCUUGCCUAAACGUCCCAAUUUAAAAGAUUGUAUUUUUUUUUUAAACAAGACACGACUGGAGGAGGUGGUGAUUCGGGUGAUGAUUUUGUGACGGUGGAAAUCUCUCACCCACGUUAUUUUAUACACACAUUUUGUUGUCCUUAAUUGAGUAGACGCCCACUACCCACCAUGCCCUGCUUCAAUAACUGUGUAUAACAGUAUGUUCUUAACUGCUAGAGGAUAUCUGUGGAAAUAAAAGUAUGUGAAUAGUAAUCUA